UACAGAGGUCUCAAGCGUUGUUCGGAUUCAUUGGGCGUAAAGGGUGCGUAGGUGGCGCGUUAAGUCAGGUGUGAAAUUUCGGAGCUUAACUCCGAAACUGCAUUUGAUACUGGCGUGCUUGAGGACUGGAGAGGAGACUGGAAUUCAUGGUGUAGCAGUGAAAUGCGUAGAGAUCAUGAGGAAGACCAGUGGCGAAGGCGGGUCUCUGGACAAGUUCCUGACACUGAGGCACGAAGGCCAGGGGAGCAAAACGGG
rnacentral:rRNA from 1 species